rnacentral:rRNA from 1 species
UACGGGGGGGGCAAGCGUUGUUCGGAAUUACUGGGCGUAAAGGGCUCGUAGGCGGCCAACUAAGUCAUACGUGAAAUCCCUCGGCUUAACCGGGGAACUGCGUCUGAUACUGGAUGGCUUGAGUUUGGGAGAGGGACGCGGAAUUCCAGGUGUAGCGGUGAAAUGCGUAGAUAUCUGGAGGAACACCGGUGGCGAAGGCGGCGUCCUGGACCAACACUGACACUGAGGAGCGAAAGCGUGGGUAGCAAACAGG